rnacentral:rRNA from 1 species
AUUUUCUGCUUGCUAGAGAUGACGAGCGGCGGACGGGUGAGUAAUACUUAGGAAUCUACCUAGUAGUGGGGGAUAGCUCGGGGAAACUCGAAUUAAUACCGCAUACGACCUACGGGAGAAAGGGGGCAACUUGUUGCUCUCGCUAUUAGAUGAGCCUAAGUCGGAUUAGCUAGAUGGUGGGGUAAAGGCCUACCAUGGCGACGAUCUGUAGCUGGUCUGAGAGGAUGAUCAGCCACACCGGGACUGAGACACGGCCCGGACUCCUACGGGAGGCAGCAGUGGGGAAUAUUGGACAAUGGGGGAAACCCUGAUCCAGCCAUGCCGCGUGUGUGAAGAAGGCCUUUUGGUUGUAAAGCACUUUAAGCAGUGAAGAAGACUCUUCGGUUAAUACCCGGAGACGAUGACAUUAGCUGCAGAAUAAGCACCGGCUAACUCUGUGCCAGCAGCCGCGGUAAUACAGAGGGUGCAAGCGUUAAUCGGAAUUACUGGGCGUAAAGCGAGCGUAGGUGGCUUGAUAAGUCAGAUGUGAAAUCCCCGGGCUUAACCUGGGAACUGCAUCUGAUACUGUCAGGCUAGAGUAGGUGAGAGGAAGGUAGAAUUCCAGGUGUAGCGGUGAAAUGCGUAGAGAUCUGGAGGAAUACCGAUGGCGAAGGCAGCCUUCUGGCAUCAUACUGACACUGAGGCUCGAAAGCGUGGGUAGCAAACAGGAUUAGAUACCCUGGUAGUCCACGCCGUAAACGAUGUCUACUAGUCGUUGGGUCCCUUGAGGACUUAGUGACGCAGCUAACGCAAUAAGUAGACCGCCUGGGGAGUACGGCCGCAAGGUUAAAACUCAAAUGAAUUGACGGNGGCCCGCACAAGCGGUGGAGCAUGUGGUUUAAUUCGAUGCAACGCGAAGAACCUUACCUGGUCUUGACAUAUCUAGAAUCCUGCAGAGAUGCGGGAGUGCCUUCGGGAAUUAGAAUACAGGUGCUGCAUGGCUGUCGUCAGCUCGGGCCUGGAAAUGUUGGGUUAAGUCCCGCAACGAGCGCAACCCUUGUCCUUAGUUACCAGCGGGGUUAAGCCGGGGAACCUAAAGGAACCUGCCAGUGACAAACUGGAAGGAAGGGGGGGGACGACGCUCAAGCUACCAUGGGCCUUUAACACCAGGGCUUACCACCUGGUCCCAAUUGGAAGGUACAGAAGGGACUCUACCACCGGUUGUGGGUGGGAAUUCCAAAAAGCCU